GUGGCCCUUGGCCUGCCGGGCCCUGCCGUAGUUGCGCGGCUCGUUGACGCGGUCAACGUUGGUUUCUUCUAUGAUUUCAGGCUCGGUCUGGUGGGGGGAAUGAAAGUGGAUGUCAAAGGCUUUACAAGGCAGCGUUUGAUGGCAUUUGCAAGAUAGCAUUUUGUGGGAAUCCAUAAAAUCAGAGGGUUUUGGGAAAGCUGCAAAAGGCAGGCCUCAGAGACAGCAGAACUGUGAUUAGACAUUAGAGCAGCAGAAACUGGUUUGCAGAAAUCCAGAAAGUAGGACAUUUACAUGAUCAGAGAGGAUAGAAGAAAGUGCAUCAGAAGUGAUUCUCUCUCCUCAUGUGGGGAUACAGAUACCAUAUUUAACAUGUCCAGCAGUCAGCCUUUCAUGGUGCAGCUGGAAUCACUGGAAUCAUUCCUCUACAGGAGUUCACCUGCCUCCCAGCAGUUUCUGUCAUGCCAGGGCUCACUGGCUCAAACAGACUGUGACAAAUUUACACAACACACAGGAAAAAAUGGCACAUGAACAAACAUCAGUGUAUUUAACAAAAAGCACGUGGCUGUGUUAAAGCUUCAGUUUCAUGUUUUCAACGCUUCCUGUGAGCCAUGUGACACAAAAUGAGCAUCCAAAUUAAUGCUUCAAUCAGUCACAGCCACAGCAAUUUGAUGAGGGAACUUUCCAGCUGCCUGGACUAAAUGCAUUCCUCAGCACGGGUCACCAGUGCUCUGUCUGUACCUCCUGCACAGAGUGUGCAGAGCAGGGCUCCCAUGUAAGGACAGGCUCCGUUUCUUACCUUCUCAGUUCACAAUAAACUGGAAAACUGCACAAGGAAAUGGUGCCCCAGGACAUCCAGUAAGAACAUAACCUACAGCUGAGCCAGCCCUUUCUCCUCACUCACCUCUGCAGCCCUGGAAAACCGCUCUUCCAGGGCAGGAUCCGUCAGCCACUGAACUCUACACCUACAGAAACACAUCUGAGCUCAGCUUUUGCCCAUAUUCUGAGCCACCAGUGCUUUUGUAAUUCCCAUUACAGUCCUUUUCAUGCCUGUGCCCCGAGGGUAAUUGCUGCAGCUGCACUGUGUGCAAUGCCCCGUCACCAGCAACACUGGCUGCAGUCCAUUCACACUCAUAGGAAAAUUCUGGUCUGGGCUUUCCAGCAAAUAGGAUGCAAGAUUGCACCUCCAAGGGUGAGGGCCAUUUCCAGGAGAAAGAUGCUUCAGCAUCCCUUUUUCUCUCAUGGACCAACUGAUGUUAGUCCCCCUGAUUACAGUAAGAACCAGAGCCCUCUUGUGCAAGGUGUAGUGGCAAACACACUCUUUUAUCAUCCCUCACACCUCCAGAACUUCCAAAGAAGAGGAAUCUGCACACUGUGCCAUUCCUGGGGUAGACUGGUAUGAUCUUCUCUUUCCAAUGUGCCAGUUUGUGUUUCAGAGAGCACCAGCAACAGAGCACCCACCCACGGCAGCAGCUCAGGCACAAUCAGCACCUGCACUCCCCCCUCAUUUCUAAAAUGGGGUUUUGAAUGCUACUGCUGUGCCAUCCUCAGGAGACAGUGAAGUGUUAAUCAAACAUUGGUAAUGUUAUGCAACAUGCCAACUUCACGUGACAGAUGAGCAAAUUAUGAAUUUCUCUGUUAAAGGCACAGGGAGAUCACCAAAAACAGGCACACACAACAUCUUACAGAUACUAUCCCUGCAAGACCUACAGGGACAAUACACUGGUUCUGCUAUCUCAUGCCCUCUGCAAUAGUUACAUUCAGAUUAAAAUAAUGACAAAAGAGUGACACCACUGUAUUUUGAAAAAGAGCCAAUUCAGAUGCUAACUUCCUGCCUAAAGUCUGCUCUGAGUAUCACCAAUAACAUUACUACCACUUUUUCUGUUUACCUUUGAGAAUUACUCACAAGAACUUGCAACAGUCCCUUCCCUUAUUGUUUUUCUUUCAUUUGUUUGUUUUUAUCACACUGCAUUUUACCAGAGAACAUGUUUUCUAUGGGUUGUAUGAAUUUUCUUCAUAAAGCAGAAGGGACCAGUGAGAGUACAACAAACACCUGGCUCAUUAAAAUGGCCCCUCUGA